rnacentral:rRNA from 1 species
AUUGAACGCUGGCGGCAGGCUUAACACAUGCAAGUCGAGCGGGGAAAGGUAGCUUGCUACCUGACCUAGCGGCGGACGGGUGAGUAAUGCUUAGGAAUCUGCCUAUUAGUGGGGGACAACAUUCCGAAAGGAAUGCUAAUACCGCAUACGCCCUACGGGGGAAAGCAGGGGAUCUUCGGACCUUGCGCUAAUAGAUGAGCCUAAGUCAGAUUAGCUAGUUGGUGGGGUAAAGGCCUACCAAGGCGACGAUCUGUAGCGGGUCUGAGAGGAUGAUCCGCGCCACUGGGGCUGAGACACGGCCCAGACUCCUACGGGAGGCAGCAGUGGGGAAUAUUGGACAAUGGGCGAAAGCCUGAUCCAGCCAUGCCGCGUGUGUGAAGAAGGCCUUUUGGUUGUAAAGCACUUUAAGCGAGGAGGAGGCUACUUGGAUUAAUACUCUAGGAUAGUGGACGUUACUCGCAGAAUAAGCACCGGCUAACUCUGUGCCAGCCGCCGCCGUAACAC